rnacentral:lncRNA from 1 species
AUGUCUACUAACCGGGAAGCCAUGAUGAAGCUAGAAGAGAAGUUGAAAGAAAUGGAGGAGGGGAUAGUAGAAAAGAGGAUCGAAGCAUUGGAGGACAUUACGAGGUCGAUCAGAAAAUCACGGAAACCACGGAAAGCGUCGACUUUGGGGAUUGAAGGGUUCGCCCCAAAGUUUCACGCUGACUUGGGUCUGAGGACGCUUUGCUCUGGAAGGACUCUGGGGGAACAAAGAGAGGAAAGACAGUCGAUCUUUGAGAAGAACCGGAGGCAGAGCAUUGCAUUGCAGACUGAGGAGGGGGAGUUUGACACAGAAGAUGGGUUGCCACUCUCUAUGCCUUUGAUGAAGGGGCUAAAGGGAGAACCAGUGUAUCAGCCCUAUAACAUCAGAGACCUGGAGGCGCUGGUGAAGCAACUACCACAGAUCACAGAGGGAGGAGCCGCUUGGCUGAGGAGGCUCCGCAGUCUAACAGAAGGAGAAGAGUUGGCCUUGGGUGAUUUUAGAGCAGUAGGUGGGCAAGUCAUGAGAGGAGGUGGUCUAGCCGAUGUGGAACAAAUGGCAGGAACUACGUGUGCAGCAAAUGAAGUCCCCUAUGAAAGGGUGCGAAAUGCUCUCGCUGAUGCAGUGCGUGAUAAGUAUCUGACCCCCAACACUGGCACCACACCUAAAAUAGUGUGGAGCCCAGAACACACUCCAAGAGAGUUUAUAGAGCAGGCAAAAGAACAGUGGAUUGUGCAGACUGGAGAACAUCCAGGACAGGGGGGUGAGCAUAGGGCGUGGUUUCGCUCAACGGUGUUGGCAGGUCUACCAGAGCGAGUGAGAGCUGACCUAGAAAAGAAUCCAGACUUUGCGGUUGCAAAUUCUACAAAAUGGGAGAGACAUUUGAUCCACAGACUUCAGCUGGAGCAGGAUGAGGUGACCAACAAGAAAAAGGAGUUAGAGGAGGCGCAAGGGCAGCUGCUGAGAUUGCAACUGGCUGAGGCCAAGAUCAAAGUAAAUGAAAAGAAAAAAGAAAGUAAGGAGGGAGCUAAGAAAAUGUUGGUGGCAAAGCCUCAGGGCGAUCCUGGGCCCGACUGGCCAGAUUUGGACCCAAGUCUGUAUCCUGAUGACCGAUGGCCCGUCAAUGGACCAAGGCAAGGACAACCCACGGGGAAUUGA